UUCCAGACUCCUACGGGAGGCAGCAGUGAGGAAUAUUGGUCAAUGGGUUUACGCCUGAACCAGCCAAGUCGCGUGAGGGAAGACUGCCCUAUGGGUUGUAAACCUCUUUUGUCAGGGAGCAACGCCGGCUACGUGUAGCCGGACUGAGAGUACCUGAAGAAAAAGCAUCGGCUAACUCCGUGCCAGCAGCCGCGGUAAUACGGAGGAUGCGAGCGUUAUCCGGAUUUAUUGGGUUUAAAGGGUGCGCAGGCGGAAUGUCAAGUCAGCGGUAAAAUUUCGGGGCUCAACCCCGUCGUGCCGUUGAAACUGGCGUUCUUGAGUGAGCGAGAAGUAUGCGGAAUGCGUGGUGUAGCGGUGAAAUGCAUAGAUAUCACGCAGAACUCCGAUUGCGAAGGCAGCAUACCGGCGCUCAACUGACGCUCAUGCACGAAAGCGUGGGUAUCGAACAGGAUUAGAUACCCCCGUAU
rnacentral:rRNA from 1 species